rnacentral:rRNA from 1 species
UACGUAGGGUGCAAGCGUUGUCCGGAAUUAUUGGGCGUAAAGAGCUCGUAGGCGGUUUGUCGCGUCUGCUGUGAAAAACCCGAGGCUCAACCUCGGGCCUGCAGUGGGGUACGGGGCAGACUAGAGUGCGGUAGGGGAGAUUGGAAUUCCUGGUGUAGCGGUGGAAUGCGCAGAUAUCAGGAGGAAUACCAAUGGCGAAGGCGGUUCUCUGGGCAUUACCUGACGCUGAGGAGCGAAAGUGUGGGGAGCGAACAGG